UACGUAGGGUGCGGGCGUUAAUCGGAAUUACUGGGCGUAAAGCGUGCGCAGGCGGCCUCUUAAGUCAGAUGUGAAAUCCCCGGGCUUAACCUGGGAACUGCGUUUGAAACUGGGAGGCUUGAGUGUGGAAGAGGGGGGUGGAAUUCCAGGUGUAGCAGUGAAAUGCGUAGAUAUCGGGAGGAACACCAGUGGCGAAGGCGGCUCUCUGGUACGUGACUGACGCUGAGACGCGAAAGCGUGGGGAGCAAACAGG
rnacentral:rRNA from 1 species